rnacentral:rRNA from 1 species
UACAGAGGGGGCAAGCGUUGUUCGGAAUUACUGGGCGUAAAGGGCGCGUAGGCGGCCUUCUAAGUCGAACGUGAAAUCCCCGGGCUCAACCCGGGAACUGCGUCCGAUACUGGAAGGCUUGAAUCCGGGAGAGGGAUGCGGAAUUCCAGGUGUAGCGGUGAAAUGCGUAGAUAUCUGGAGGAACCGCCGGUGGCGAAGGCGGCAUCCUGGACCGGUAUUGACGCUGAGGCGCGAAAGCCAGGGGAGCAA